CUGGAUGUGACACAGGAUUGUGUCUUAGCACUAAAGUCUGAUAGCAGUAGGUUGGGAUUUUCCAUAGAUACCUACUAAAACUAGUUAAGACUAUGUUUCUAUAGUUGUUGUAAAAUUGUGCAUAUUUAAUAUAUGUAUUCUGAUACAUGUGUACGUAAUACCUACACCCAAGCAACCCCAUUCAACAGAGUGUUGUAUAGGAAUCGAGGCUCGUGCCCAGACAGACCACACCUGGCCAGUACGGUUCCACGUGAGAGACUUUCAUUGGUGCUGGGGAUGGGGGAUGCACAAAGGAGGGGAGGAGACAAAGGAGGAAAAGAGAAAGAAGGGGCGACGGUCAGGAGGGGUUGGCUUUUUAUUUGGGUAGGGACAUAACUUCUUGCAGGUGAGGGUAGGAGAUGGGCUAGGAGGACACUGGAAAUAUAUGACAACAGAUGCUCAGGUCCCUUUCACCUCUGGGUGACGUCACUGCUAUCGCUGGGUUUGGAGACAACCUGCAACCAUAAAGCCGAUUCCUCAUACCAACACUAAGUUCUCAUAAAAAUGACAGAAUUGCCAUGGAUCCCAGCAGUCUUCUCAGUAUAGUUUCCAUGCACUUGAAAUUAGUUUUAAAUCGUUCCAGAAUGCUCAUGUUUCUUGCAGUUGUAUUCAUACUUGCCUAAAUAUGAAAAUAACAUCAAUGCUCAUUUGUUGAGGACCAGCUAGGUGCCUCUAGGCGACCAAGGGUGCCUUGGGUUAAAGAAGUGGAUAAAGGAUUAUGCACUUGUAAAGACUCUCACAGUCAGUGCUUUAUUGUCAUAAAACAGCAUGUAAUUAUAGCUUAAGCAUUAUCAACCCAUUUCUUUCUCCCAUAUAAUUUUAACCUUUAAUGCACUCUUAUUAUCAGAUGGAUAU
rnacentral:lncRNA from 1 species